rnacentral:tRNA from 1 species
AGACUUUUGGUGUAGUGGUAACACGGCGGGGUGAUAAGCCCGAUGACGCAGGUUCGAUUCCUGCAGGGUCUA